AGAGAGUGGCUGCCUGUGGAAGUCUUGCUGUUGUCUGAAGAGGAACGAUGCAGAUUGGCAAGCAGCUUUGCCAUCACAGAGACCUCUCUCAUUUUUUGAAGAGGUUUAUAACACAGCUUGAUUUGCUUCCUGGUGUGUGUUCCAAAUACACUCAAGCUAUGACCGGACAAAGAAACGGCUCAGAGAAGACUGUGUUCUUAAGUCUGGCUGUCACUAUACAGAACUGAAAUAGCUAAAAGAAGCUCCAAGGUUUCUGGGCACAUAUAUUUAAAGCAGCUGGCCAUGCCUGCAUCAUGUACCAGUGAGGGGCCUCCAGCAGCUGGUCUUGCCCGCAUCAUGUACCAGUGAGGGGCCUCCAGCAGCUGGUCUUGCCCGCAUCAUGUACCAGUGAGGAGCAUCCAGCAGCUGGCCCUGCAUCAUGUACCAAUGAGGAGCAUCCAGCAGCUGGCCCUGACCACAUCAUGUACCAAUGAGGAACAUCCAGCAGCUGGCCCUGCAUCAUGUACCAGUGAGGAACAUCCAGCAGCUGGCCCUGCAUCAUGUACCAGUGAGGAACAUCCAGCAGCUGGCCCUGCAUCACUCUUAAAGUAGACUUGGGCCUGGCUUGAGCCCAGUGUGACCAGCUUUCAUCUGUGGAGCUGAGAAAAGGGUCAAAGAACAACUAAUUAAAAGAAUUCCUCCUGCUGCUACAGAAAUACAAUAAUGACUUUAAGAGAUUUUCCUCUUUUAAUUAAAUGCCAACUACCUUUGCUGAUUUCAAGCCCAAAUUGCUAAUGCUAUUUUAACUAAUUCUCAUGAUUACAAAAGAGGAGAUUGAAAGCCAACAGCAAAUACAUGAAGAAUUUGUGUCCCAGAUCGUUUUGUCCAAACGAAGUUUCAUUCUUUCUCUGCUUUUCUGAGUCAGCUAAUGGUGGCUGUUGGGUAGGGGCUCAUCAGGAGCCCCUCACAGUUGCCUCUCUGUCACAGUGCAAAGAAAUAGCAAGCCUGACUGUGACUCUGAAAUCCUCUCACAGGCUUCCCAAGUAUCCAGCCUCCUAGAAAUAAAUGCCAGAGCCCAGACCAGA